rnacentral:rRNA from 1 species
GAUGAACGCUGACAGAAUGCUUAACACAUGCAAGUCAACUGUGGCGGACGGGUGAGUAACGCGUAAAGAACUUGCCUCACAGAUAGGGACAACAUUUGGAAACGAAUGCUAAUACCUGAAACUGUGAGAGAGCUUUUCGUCCCAUUAGCUAGUUGGAGAGGUAACGGCUCACCAAGGCGACGAUGGGUAGCCGGCCUGAGAGGGUGAUCGGCCAAAAGGGGAAUGAGAGACGGCGCUGACUCCUCCGGGGGGUAGCAGUGGGGAAUAUUGGUUAAGGGACCAAAGUCUGUUCCAGCAAUUCGGUGGGCACGAUGAAGUUUUUGGAAAGUAAAGUGCUUUCAGUGGGAAAGCAGUACCAACAGAAGAAGUGACGGCUAAAUACGUGCCAGCAGCCGCGGUAAUAC